AGAGACUGGAAGACAUAGGGACACUGAAACAUUUGGGGACACUAAGAGACAUGAGGGACACUAGGGAUACUGGUUGCGAGACAGACACUUGUGGACAUGGACACUGGGACACUAGGCACACUGAGAGACAUGGGGACACUGGGAGACACAGGGACACUGAUAAACUAGGGACACUGGCUGGGGGACAUGGGGUCACUGUGUCCCUAGUGUCUAUCAAUGUCCCUAUGUUUCACAGCGUCCCAUGUGUCUCAGCAUCCCCAUGUCUCAC